AUUACCUUCAUUAAGUUUAUUGUAACUAUAUAUAAAAUCUAAUCUAACUGUACGCAUUAUUUUUUUCAGAUAAAGGAAAUCAUUUAAGUACUUUUAUUAUGUAGAAAAAAAACCUUGAAGUUAAAUACCUUAUUUCCUUUUCUAAAUAGAUAUCAAAUCUAUAUUAUUGAUUUUAAACAUUUAUUGGGUGUAAAUAAUAAAGAGAUGUUUGAUAAAAGUAUAGAUACCGUUUUUUUCGACAUAAAUGUUAUAUUUACAAACCAAUCGUAACUUUUGUCCGCAGUUCAUCUCUUCGGAGAGAAAAACUGAAAAAGCCGCAAACUGAGAUACUUCCCCACUCGGGGAACCAUCUCAAAAAUUGAGGAGGAUGUUAUUUACCCCUAACCACGAGGGAGAAAGAAAACAAGAAAUAGAGAAAGAAGAAAAGAAGCAGGAUGUGCCCUGGCAUGCAGGGAUUUUACGUAUAACGAGCUAUGGCGUUAAGAAACAUUGAUAUAAUAGAAGAAAAUAUGUUAAGGUUAUCAAAUGAGCUGAAGAUAGUAAAACACCAAAUAAGAGAAAUGAAAGAUGAUUUUUAAAUGUGAAAAAAAAAAUAAGUAAAAUAUAAUUAAAUC
rnacentral:lncRNA from 1 species